rnacentral:misc_RNA from 1 species
CGUUCAUUUUCAUUCAUGAUUCAUUCAUUGUUCAUGCCAUUGGAACCGUGAUUUCUAUCGCUUUUUUCCAGAUCACGAGGAAAUCAAGAUAAUUUGUUUGAGUUGAAAGUGCUUCAAUUUCCAAGAAAAAAUGGCUUUACACGUACCGAAAGCGCCGGGUGUACCCCAAAUGUUAAAGGAAGGAGCACGGAUGUUCUCUGGUCUAGAGGAAGCAGUUUACCGUAACAUUAACGCAUGUAAACAAUUUGCCCAAAGUGUGCGUUCAGCAUAUGGACCCAAUGGAAUGAACAAAAUGAUUAUCAACCACAUUGAUAAACAGUUUGUUACGAGUGAUGCUGGUACCAUUAUCAGAGAGCUUGAUGUUGAACAUCCUGCUGCUAAAUUGAUGGUACUGGCCAGUCAGAUGCAAGAUUCUGAAGUGGGAGAUGGCACCAACUUCGUGAUUGUCUUCUCUGGUGCUUUAUUGGAAGCAGCUGAGGAAUUACUGCGCCUGGGUGUAACACCCACUGAAAUUGCCGAUGGCUAUGAGAAAGCCCUAGAGAAAUGUUUAGAAAUCCUGCCAGGACUAGUUUGUGAAGAAAUUAAAGAUUGCAAAAAUGUUCAAGCUGUUGUGAAGGGAAUAACUCCCUCAAUUAUGUCUAAGCAGUAUGGAUAUGAAGAUUUUAUUGCUGAACUGGUGGCCAAGGCUUGUGUUGCUAUUCUUCCUGAAAAAACCACAUUCAAUGUUGAUAAUGUGAGAAUAUGCAAGAUCCUAGGAUCAGGUCUUCUACAGUCUGAAGUUCUCUCUGGAAUGGUGUUCAAGCGAGAGGUUGAAGGAGAUGUUCCUUCUGCAACAAAAGCUAAAGUUGCUGUGUACUCAUGCCCGGUGGAUAUCACUCAGACUGAAACAAAAGGAACCGUUUUGAUCAAAUCAGCUGAUGAACUUCUUAACUUCAGUAGGGGAGAAGAGUCUCAACUGGAGAAACAAAUUAAAGAGAUUGCAGAUUCUGGAGUCAAAGUAGUAGUUGCUGGUGCUAAGUUUGGUGACAUGGCUUUGCAUUUCUUGAACAAGUAUGGCAUAAUGGCCGUUCGUCUCAACUCUAAAUUCGACAUCCGACGCCUUGCCAGGACUGUAAAUGCUACUGUGCUGCCAAGACUUACAACACCGACUGCUGAAGAGCUUGGAUACUGUGACUCCGUUGGUGUGGAGGAGCUGGGAGACACACGUGUUGUUUGCUUCCGCAUGGACAGCACUGAGUCACGCAUCUCCACAGUUGUCAUCCGAGGCUCUACAGACAAUUACAUGGAUGACAUUGAAAGAGCCAUUGAUGAUGGUGUGAAUACCUUCAAGGGAAUUGCCAGGGAUGGAAAAUUUUUGCCUGGUGCUGGUGCAACAGAAAUUGAAUUGGCUCAGCAACUCCUUCAGUAUGCAGACACACUGCCAGGCUUAGAACAAUAUGCUGUAAGGAAGUUUGCCGUUGCUUUGGAAAGCAUCCCACGUGCCUUAGCUGACAAUUCUGGUGCCAAUGCCACAGAAGUUGUCAACAACAUUUACAAAGCUCACAAGGAGGGCAACAAAAAUGCAGGUUACGACAUUGAAUCCGAAAACAAUGGUGUAUGUGACGCUAAAGAGAAAAACAUAUUGGAUUUAUAUGUCUUAAAGUACUGGGGCCUCAAAUACGCCGUUGGCGCAGCUGCAACAAUUCUCAAGGUGGACCAAAUUAUUAUGGCAAAGAGAGCAGGCGGGCCCAAACCUAAAGCACCGGCGGGAAGUGAUGACGAAUCUUAAAAUUACAUUUACUAUUAAAGUCGCAAAGUAUUUUAGUUAAGUUUUUAAAAUAACAUAAUGUCACCUUGCAUUUAAUUUGAAAUAUAAUAUAAUUUGCUUUGUAUAACCUACAAAAAAGGCAACAAUUCGGUUCUAUUGCAUAUUUAUUUGUUUGUUAUCAAGUUUUGUUCGCAAAACUCUGUGUAGUAAUUAAAUUUUUUAAAAACCACAUUGUGUAGUAAAGAAAUAAAUAAGAUUGCCUUUACGACAGUAAAAUUGCUACAAAAUGUUAUCUAUCUUUUAUCACAAAUAAAUAAUUACAGAAUAAAAAAAUUAACACA